rnacentral:lncRNA from 1 species
CUACUAGGCAAUUUCUGAUCAACCCAAUUCGGGUCGAUGUUGGAUCGGAUCAUUUUAGGCCAGUUCGGACCGGUUUGGCCUAAUAUAUUUCUUCAACCAAUUGGGUCCGAUUCGAUGGGGCUGGAAAAGGUAACCCUAACCCUUGUCUUCCUGAUUCUGAGCUCACGCCACAUAAGGGAGGCAGGAGGCCUCCACCUUCAUGGGCCUCGGCUUCUUGAUGCACUAAGCUCCAUUCGGUUUAGUCGACGGAUCCGCCACGGAACAAAUCCAGCAUCACGCUGAACUGCCGGCACAAUUCAUCCAUGAAUGCCAAGAGUUUCAAGCCGACUUCCUUCACGGUGAACAUCUUGGGAUUCUUGGGUUUAGCCAUCGCGACCUUCCAUUUUAACCAAGUUCAAGCAGCCACAUCAGCGUAAGAUUUAGCCGGUUCGAGCUCUGAUACUAACUUGUCAAAUGCCUUAGACAUGGAUUUUGACUUGAGGAAAAUAAAAAAUAAUAAGAAGAGAAUGAAUAAGAUGAUGAAGAAUCUGAAGAGAAAGAGAGAUAAUAGUUUUUUUUAUUGAAUUCGAUUGAUGAUUACAAAACAGUAAAAAAAGGGCUUUUUAUAGGCCUUGAGACAAUAAAGAAAAGCUUCAUUGGUGGCCGGAAUUGCACUUCCCAUUAUUAGGCGCGGCAGCGGCCAUAGGAUGAAUUGGUGAUGGAUUCAGCACCGGCUACGAGAUUGAAUGGUUAGAGUUUGUCAACCCUGAUUCCAGUCUCGACCAAUUUCCCAUUUUGCCCUUCGUGUUCUGAUUUCUCUAUUCCGGCUUUCUUUCUAUGAUAAACCCUUAAGGGUUUCCUUAUAUAUUUCUUCUAAAGUGUCUUUAAGUCCAUUCCAGUUGUUGUAAUUUUCAUUACUCAAUAGAAAACAGAAUACACGCA